ensembl:lncRNA
UAAUGAGUAUUGCACUGUGCCUGUCUGCAGUAAAAAGGGUUUGAAUGAUGAGCCAAUAAUAUCUACCUGAGCUUCCCAAAACAAGAUAUCAAACACGGUUUAGGAAUCAAACAUAACUCUACUUUUCUCCUCCCUCUUCUUUGAACCUGUUUUCUAGUUUUUCUAGAGGCAAAGUCAUUUAUUGCAUCAUUGCAAGAAAUAUGAUGUCCACUCGUCUCCUGUGCCACUGAAGAUAUCAAGUAGUUAUUUAUUCACUCGAGCUUGGAACUCCCUUCUGUGGAUACAAUGAAGUUAUCAUUGCUUUGGGGAAUUAUAUUUAACACAGAGAGAGAAGCUCAAUUGUUUGAAUUUAUUUACAGUUUUCAAAAAAUUCUGACCGUAAACAGCUUUCAAAGCGUUGAUAUUAUUUGAGAAUAUAUAUCAGGUGAUGGAAUUUAAUUUAAAGGUUUCUAUGUCCCAUUGAGCUAUUUGCACUAACUAGUGACAGUAUAAAGGUAACACAGUCGUAAUUUUGAUCUCAAAUUUCUGAGAGAAAUAACUGAAUUUAAAACAUGGCAGACCUCAGGCCAGAUUUAAUUGGUAGACAUAUAUGCAUGCAAUAUGAAAUUUAUUAUCCCAGAUAGUCUAAGGAGCAAGGGCGUAGAUUUGGCAUGGACGGAAGGGACAUGUCCCCACCAAUAAUUUGAUCUAUUCGAGUAAAGAAAAUCAAACCCGAUAGAAAGAAAAGAAAAAAAAAAAGAUCUGUCAGCGUCUCAUUCACCCAGCGGUGCAGAAAGGGUUAAAUUACGUUCUCUACUGGAGUCCUACCUCAUGUGACAAAUAUGGCCAAUGUGAUUGGCUGAGCCUUUCAGGGAGCUCUGUUUAGUUUUAGCAGCUGCAAGCCUGCGCUGCCAGGAGGAGAGGAGGAUGGCAGCAAAAAGGAAGAACCUGGAUAUAAGAAAGUAUUUUUCAAAGAAACCUGCAAGUCACUUAAAGCCAAAUUAACUCAUAAAAUGUGUCCGUCACAAUAACGUUACAGGCUGUGCUAGGCUUUGGCCC